UCAUGCUAGACCAUUUAAUAGCAUACAUCGGAAAGCAACAUUUUUUGAUUUCAUAUUUUAAACUGAGAACAUCAGUAAAUAUUUUCAGCCACUAGAAGAGUUCUCUUUAUGAAUAUCCAGUAGGCUUGUAUAUUGUGGAGCUGCUUCCCUGCUCUCAGCCACUUCCUGUUGCAUCGGAUCUCCAGAAGACUAGAGAGCUUUCCAUGGGACAACUGUGACAUGGCCCUGAAUAGCCAGGAAUCCACUGCUAAGAUUUCAGCAAGUCUUAUGGCUGAGUCCAUCAGAGUCAUGACAUGAAGAUACCAGUCACAGCACUGCAAUGUGCGAUAAAUGCUAGUUCUUUUCUUUCCUUCAUAUCAAGUCAAUUUAAGUUUGCUCUACUUACCUGGUGUACACAGUCUAAGAACUGCAGGAAGACUGGAGUAAAACCACUACCCUGACAGUUGAGGGUCAAGCUGCUCCGCUGACUGAAUUUAUGACCAAAAGAGAGCCAUUCUUUUUCGACCAACAUCCGGAAGCCUUCAAGUGUCCUAUAAAAGGGAUCACUGAGUAACUGAACCAGGGAUGUCACCUAAGGCACAAGCAGGAUGGAUACUUCAUUACUUUCAGUCCCGAAAAAAUUUUGUUACUAAGGCAGGCAAAGUC